UCUCCAAUUUAUGCCCAAAGAGAGGCCCUGGGCCUCAGGGCCUGAGGGGGCGCCUCCAGACACACGACAGAUGAGGAAGGUUGGGGUGUGAAACAUCCAUGUACAGCCCGGGUCUUGGUGGGGCUGGAAGACUGAAGCUGCCGGUGCAGAGCCACAGAGAAGCCGAAGAGACUACCCGGCUCGCCCUCCUUGCGCAGGGCGCCCAUCACGUCCAGAUUGAAGGCGACAGCCCGCAGGGAGAGCAGGCCGGCGAGCAGGGAACCAAGAAGAGCCCGGCAGUGACAAGGGCCAUGGUAGCCACAUCAACAGCACUCAGAGGAACAGAGGGCAAGAAGAGAAAGAAAAAUCCAGCAGGUCCGAGGAGGAGAACAAAGGAAGCAGAUAGAAAAGAGAGAAAAGAGAUGGAAAAAGAAGGGCAUGGGUUAGAUCGACAAGGGAUGGGAUGAACGGAGAAGAAAGAGAAAGUCUGAGAAUGAUAUAGGAAGAGAAAAUCAAGCUGGGGGAAUGGGGGCCGAAGAAAGGCAAAGAUGAGCCACAGAGACAGAGGGAUGGGAAGGAUGUCGCCUGCUCCCAGGCCCUCUCGGGACUGCGCAUUUCCCACUCGCCAAAGAGGAGGGCUUGUGGGGAACAGACCCUGGGCUGGCCCAGGCAGAAUGUUGGUGGCACUUUGCAGGGAUCUAUCUCUACAGGGACCCCCAGGCCUGUCCCUCUUCCUCUCCUCCCCAGCCACCGCCCCCCAUCCACACUCCCGCUGUAACAGAAGCAAAGGGAGGGGGGACAUUUUCCAACUCUCUGCUAUUUAUAACUCCAGUCCAGAAAUGUGGCCUAAGGAGAGAUAGGGAUUAAUUUGACACAAGGGGACCUCGCUGGCUCCUCCUCCCUUCCUAGUACUCUAUCCUAAAGAGUGUCUGUCUUGUGGACCUCCAUCUGUCCGUCUUUCCCUUCCCUAUCAGGUUUUGUCUCAUCCCAAACUCUCAUUUUGUCCCCGUUCUUGUCUCUAUCACUUCAACUCUUUCUCAGAUUAUUUCUCCAUGUCUCUAAUGUUGUCUCUGCAUCCUCAAACACUGCCAUAUUCUUAAGAUUCCCUCUUCUCCCUCCCUUUCUUGAAAGCCUCAAUAAGUGUCCUACCCAGUUCCUCAUCCCAUACUCCCUUUGUCUCUCACACUUCUUUGUCCAAGAUUAUAUUUUUAAAACAAGCAAGCAAAUCAGAUGAGCUCGCUUUGUGAUAUAACCCAGGGACAGUCCUUUCCCUGAGUAAGUUACUAUACAUUUGAAGGUUGGGCCUCCAUUUUUGUAACUUUACCCUUGUGGACAUCCCCUCCAGGGGACUAAGGUACCUCUAACAGGUGCUAUGAAGGAAACACACGUGCUGUCAGCAUGCUGCCACCAGGACUCUACUUUUGUUAUCUCCCAGAUAAUUUUCUAUCUCAAGCCCCAGAUGAUAGAGCUGACUAGAAUACAGAGUAGCCAAGUCAGUAUAGAAUCCAGGACUCCCGACUCCAGCCCAGACCUCCCGCCAGCGUCAAAUGCCUGAGAGCCCAGCUGUCUGCCUCUCUGCACCUGCAGCUUUUGCCUCCCUUCAUCUUCCCUCCACUGUUUCCUGCUAAAUCCGAGGCUGAAAUCAGAUGCCAAGAGUCUGCUUCUGACCUCCUCUGCCCAAAUAUUUGAGAAGUCACCUUGCCCACCACAAGAGAAUGGAGUAGGAAAGAAGAAGAGAGAGGCUGCCCAAAAUUAGCUUGGCUAUAAAUAGUGGGGCAAGGGAGGGCACGGAACAGCAGAGCCCUAGCCCAGCCUGUAAAUUUAGAUAUGUAGACUUUCUCUAAAGAAGUGGGACCAGAUUGUUGGAUGGAAGGGCGAUAUUGUAGGUGGAGGAGGGGAUGACGAAGCUGCAUGGAUUCAUAGAAUGGAGGAAGCUCAGCAUUAGAAUAAACAACCUGCCAGAGAACUUCUUGUAUUUGAGCCAAGAGUUGGGAUUCAUUACAUUAAAAACAAUGCUGACACUAUAUCGUUCCACUCAUAUAAUACUCUCAAAACAACAAAACUGUUGAGAUGAAAAACAAAUAUGAUUGCCAGGGGGCAGGGAUGAGGAAGGUGAAUAUAAAGACAGCCAGAAAGUUCCAUUUGGGUGAUAGAGUUUGGGUGGUAGUUAUUCAAAACUACACGGGAUGAAAUUCAAUAAAAGUGCCCACACAUACACACACACACACACACACACACACACACACACACACACACACACACACACACACACAAAUGACUGCUUGUAAAGCUCUGAUGAAGAUGAAUAAGGCCUGUAAGCUAGGUAAUAGUAUUGGACCCCCAACAGCUUGCUGGUGUUGAAGUGUGAGAAGUUAUGGCCACUGAGGAAAGCUGGGUGAAAGGUAUACAGGACUUUGUGUACUGUUGUGCAACAUCCUCUGAGUCUAUAAUAUUUCAAAAUAAUUCUAAAAAUUGAUAAAUGUCCAGGCCCAGCAAAGACUUCAGCCCUUGUCUGAGUGGAAGCUGAGGCUUUCUCCAGCUCCUUCCCCUCCUAACAACCUUCUCCCCUCCUUCUGGGAUCCCUAUUUUUCAGCACU